rnacentral:rRNA from 1 species
GCCCAGACUCCUACGGGAGGCAGCAGUGGGGAAUAUUGGGCAAUGGGGGAAACCCUGACCCAGCGACGCCGCGUGAGGGAAGAAGGUUUUCGGAUUGUAAACCUCUGUCCUUGGUGACGAUAAUGACGGUAGCCAAGGAGGAAGCCACGGCUAACUACGUGCCAGCAGCCGCGGUAAUACGUAGGUCCCGAGCGUUGUCCGGAUUUAUUGGGCGUAAAGCGAGCGCAGGUGGUUUAUUAAGUCUGGUGUAAAAGGCAGUGGCUCAACCAUUGUAUGCAUUGGAAACUGGUAGACUUGAGUGCAGGGGAGGAGAGUGGAAUUCCAUGUGUAGCGGUGAAAUGCGUAGAUAUAAGGAAGAACACCAGUGGCGAAGGCGGAUUACUGGACGAUAACUGACGGUGAGGCGCGAAAGCGUGGGGAGCAAACAGGAUUAGAUACCCUAGUAUA